CUGAGCUAACACAGGGGGUAAUAAAGGUGUUUUAAUAUGCAAAGCAAUGCAACAUUGUUUGCAGAUUAGAUUACACAGAGAGAAUGAGAGGGGAAAAAAAAGUCCACAUCUCUAAUAACUGUGUAUUUAUGUGUGUCUGCGUGCAUGUGUGUAAUCCAGGGAUUAUCCAGUCAUCCUGGUCUGGUCCAGUGGUGAGCCACAUUACACGCUGACUCCAGCCAGCCACACUGAAAUCCUGCACUUCUCACUUGCUGCCUCUAAUUAAAUGAAGCCGAAGGGUAAAAUUAACUUCUACAAGACACAGCGAGAAAGCUUAGUGGACAUGUGUGCGAUGAGACUUUAUGUUCAUCUGCUCUCACAUAUGUUCAAAGGGAGUAUGUGCUGUAAGUGCGUGGAGGGGAUGAACACACGUCUGUGCUGGUGCUUCAGGAUUAAAAAAGUAUUUGAACAUCUUACGCAUAGAACACCUGUAGUAGCAGCCACUACUACUGUUUUUUUUUCUUUCUGUGAUGUCUAAAUUCUUCCAAGGUCUGGUAUAUGUGCUUCACUGGUUCCUUGCCCGUGUAUUGCACAAGGAGAUGUUCCUCUACACAUUAUCACUUCAAAGCUGAAAUCUUUAAUUUAUUCAAGUCGUGAUCAUAAUUUUAUACCAUUUGCAUGGUCAGAUCUAUGUUAAAGUCUGAUAUUAAAUGGUGUAUUUAUUCUGCUACAGCAUACAGAUCUGCUGUGUAAAUGGCAUGGCCAAUGCUUUU